UCCUGGUAAAAAUAUAUUUCCAACAAACCUAACCUGAAGAGACCGCCUCCUUCACUUCACCUUACUUUCUAUUGUUCAACUAACACAACCUCUCUCCCUCUCUCUUUUGUAUGAAUUACCUAACUCUAGUAGACAUAAGGAUGUCGCCUCCCUCCUCGCUUUCUCUUUCUUUCUUUGUAUCAACUUUGUACUUUCCCUUCCCUAACGCGCACACACACCACCAGUGACAAGUUUUUCUGCCAUAAAAACUCAAGCAAGGGUGCAAAUAAGCAAGGGCCAACGUCGCUACUCUAUCCCAUGACUCUCUUUGCUCUCUCAUUUGGCACUCAACAACAACCUCCAUCCGUCAAGGACCACAACGAAUCAGUCCCACACCCAUGUUUCUCUUUUCCUUUGUUAUUUUUAUUUCAUUAGAAACCUUUGUUAUUUUUAUUUUAUUAGAAAAAACAAAAAACAAAUUUAAUUAUUUUUAAUUUUUCUUACUUUUGUUUCCAAUUUUUUAUAUAAUGAUUUACUAAAUGCUUAUUUGAUUUGUAAUGUAAUAUUUUGUAAUUAGAUUUGGUUAUAUUGUUUAUGUUAUUGUAAAAAGGAAUCAAAUUUUUCUUAUUGUUUAUGUUGUUUAAGAAAAAGUUUCAGAUUAUUUUAUUGAUGUAUAUAUAUACACGAGAUAUAUUUGUAUGUUAUAUUGUUUAUUUCUUUUUUUUUAGAUUGGGCUCAAAGAAGAAAGUUAGAAAUGCCAAUUAGAAAAGAAAAACUCUAUAGUUAUUUUGCUUGAUUGAGAACAAUUAGAAUAAAGGUAUUUUGUUCACUCUUUGAUUUGAUUAACAUAUUACUUGUAUUUGUUGAUAUUUUUUAACUUCAAACUUUGUUCAAUUUUUUGGUGCACAUUGAUUUAUGUUCAAUUUGUUUUGUUGUUGUUGUUUUUCUUUUAGUAGUUAUAGAAGAUAUAUAGUAGUUUUAUAUAGAUUGUCCAUAAAUGUGAAUAAUGUUCUGUUUUGAAUUGUAGGCAAUGAACUUGAGGACAAGGAAUUACCAAAAGGAGAAGACUUGAUGUUCUUGAUUGAUGACAUUGGAAAUAUUAUACCUUAUUUUGUUCAAGUUUGUAGUCACUGUGACACUGUCUAGUUGCUCAGUAGGCAAUUCAUGAGUGACAAAUUUUUUACAAUUUUAAGACUUGAAUUUUGGAUGACUGUAAUAAACUUUGAACAAUUUUGCUUUAUGUAUGAAUUUUUUUUUCUUUAAUUUAGGUAUGAAUUUGUGAUCAUAUUCAUAUUUAAAUUUUUGUAGUUGUGAAAAGUAAGGGUUGUAACCCAACCCAAGCCAUAAUAAUUGGGUUGGUUUGGGUUGGAUUAUACAUAAAAUUUAAAAAUGAAUGGGUUAGAAUUUAAUAAAUCGAUUUUAUUGGGUUUGCCCACUAAAA